ACAAAAUUACAAAAGGAACCUCCGGCUGCGACGCUUUAGGGUUCGUAAUUCUUCUUCGAAACAGUGAGCGAAUUCUCUGCAAUCUCGAUCUCUGGACUCGUAAUGUCUUCACCUGGAGAAUACUACAAUUCACUUCCCCCUGUGACCAAGGCAUAUGGGACCCUGUGUUUGCUGACUACUGCAGCAUUCCACCUGGGGCUGUUGAAUCCUUAUUAUAUCGCGUUACAUUUUCCUCUUGUAUUUUCACAUUUCCAGGUUUGGAGGCUGAUAACAAACUU